rnacentral:lncRNA from 1 species
UACAGUUUUACAGCAUAAAUUUCAUUGUUUACUAAAACAUUACAAAAACGAAUUGUUUUUGUAUUCAACGCGAUUCGUAAUCUGUUAUGUUGAACUAUCGUAACAAUGACCGUGACAAUGGACGUUCAUUGUGGCAUUAAGCAAUUAUAGUUUGAGAAACGCUGGCAAUGAAACCGAAGAGAGAAGUGUUGUGAGUUGUUAGCGGGUAAAGUGGGACGGUGUGCCACAUCGAUGGUAGGAAAAGCGAGGGUAGUAAGAAGCCAGGUGAAGAGCGAGGUCGAAAAGAAAAUAGUCGAAGCUGGAAAUAAUGAUCCGGCACCGAUGGAUUGAGAGAUGAUCACCGUGGAUGCAACAAGUUGUAUCGUAACGAUUAUGAUUCGUUUUCGCUCGAAUUGCAUUUCCGAUUUAUCACCUGAUAAUUUGUUUGUUUUCACUGAGAAGAAAAAAUGGAAAACGAUAAAAAAAAAUAUACCGGAUAAUAUACCGGAAGUUAUGAUCACAAAUAAUCGAACAUGAGUUGACACGUACGAUGAUUGGACGUUGAGGAAGCACUGCGUGUUCUGCACACAAUUAGGUCAUUGUCCUUCAUUUAUACUCGCAACCGGCGAACGUAUCAUCGAAGGCCGAAACGUUGUUCCUCCUACUCUGAUGGAUAACAGCUGCUUCAAAACGCGGAAAUGUAACUGGGAAAAGUCAUAGGUUCCACGAAAUAAGAAUUCCAAAUUCUACGAUUCUUCAACGCAAGUACAAAGUAUCAAGUAAAUGAAAUUAAUUGGAUCACAUGAAUAGAUCACAUCUUUUCAUCUUUUAUCUUCUAUCUUCAUUUUCUAAAUAUUUUCCAACUGAUAAAAUUGUAAAAUAGAUACAAAAAUAGAUUAUCAUUGAUGUUAACAUUUUGAUUUGUAAAAAAUUCUUUAAUUCUUUAAAAUUUCUUCGAGUUUUUAAAUUUUUUAUAAAAGUUUUUUUAUGUUAUUUUAUUUAGUUUACUUUCUUUUCUCGUACACAUACUUCUUCCGACUUAAAGAAGUAAAGUCAUGUAUAGUGAAUGUCUUCCAGAAACGGUACUUUGACAAAGACGCCUUUAGAGAAAAGAAAAGAUAACACACAGGUCUAUUUCGAGAUACAAUCUUACAUCAGUUUCAAACCGAAGUCAAUCCGAAAAGGAAUUCGAUGACAGGAAAGUCGAUUUGCGAUUGUAUCAAAGGCCCUUUGCGAGUCGACAGAUGGACAGAACGAUCGAAGACCGGUCAAACGCCGUUUCUCUCCAUAUCCUGCUACUGGAUUCCCUCGUGAGGACAUACUUGUGUGCGUGGAUACGCACGGACCAACAUGUGUGAUCCAGUGACCCACUAUAUUCAUCGGUGGCUACAAAAUUUCAAUCUAUGGAUAAAAUUGAUGAUAUAAAGAAAGAUUAAAAUAAAACAAAAUCAACUUAAAACAAAAAACAAUAUCAUUUAUAUUGAUAUUCCAUUUAUACAAGAGUAUAUACAUUACGACGAUUAAUUAGAAC